GCGGGUAUCGUCCAACGGGUCCGAGCACACCGGAACUUCACCCCGGCGACGGCGGUUCGAGCCCGCCUACCCGCG
rnacentral:tRNA from 1 species